AGGAGGAACAGCCCCAGUGGCGGUGCAGCUCUGGAAACCUGGAUUCAGCCCCCGCAGGAACUCCGGAGCUCUCCGUCUGCAGGGCCUGGAGGCUCCGGGCGGGG
rfam:Canis lupus familiaris chromosome 17, whole genome shotgun sequence.